UGGAUCGUCUUCGUACCAGCCACUCGACUACAUUGGCCGUUGUUUGUCGUCACAGCAUGAACGGGCGUGAGAAUAACACGGACACGAUAAACGUGGAAAUUGUGCAAAACGUUUGAUUUUUUGAUAAAGUGUCUAAUUGUUUAUGUUAUUUGUGAAACUAAAUCGGUGUAGGAAUCAAUUUAUUGGAUACUUGCAUGGAAUAUUUGCAGCUGUUGACUGUCCAAAAUGGCUGACUGAUAUACCUGCAUAGGCACAAUAAAUAAUAAUGUAAUAAAGCAGAUGGCGACUGAAUUAUCCAGAGAGGAAGCUACUUUUAGAAUUAUCCAGAAAGGAAGCUCAAGCUAUCAGGCUAUCGCAUUCAUUAUCUAUCCAUGUUUCCGUGUGGCAUGAUGGUUUCUGAGACAAUUAGCUGUGGGAGACUGAAGUCAGUGUGAAGGAUGUUUCAAAGAUGGCGGUCUACAUCUAAGGUGCAGUGGAACGCCAGCAUCAAAAUGCAAAUCUUCAAAAAUGGAAAAAACGCUGGGUGGUUUAUAAAGAAAAACGCUGUGUACAAACUGCAAUCCAAUCUGUGGAAUGUAUCAUUUACGACUGCGCGGAACUGAAUACUUGAAGAGGAAAACAGAGCGACACCGAAAUCCAACUUUUUGAAAAAUAUUGGACAAAAUAUA